GGCGGCCGAAGUGUAGCCGAAAACUGAACCGCGGGCUCAGUUUUUAAGAAGGUGCCCCCUUUCAUCAAUCCUCUCGUUACCGAGAAUAAAACAACAACAACACCAACAAAAGGUUUGCAGCGCUCGCUGCUCGCUACCAGACGUAGACACGUUAAAUCAGACAGGGUAGUAGAAAUCUGGGUGAAGAACUCAAAACCGACCCCGGCAGCGGAACCCCUCCCCCUUCACUGAGCAGGACACUUCCAUGAAGGAUUCCCAGUGUGUCCUCGAGUGCAUCCGCUCAGCCCCAGGUGGACAACCACGCAGCGCUUUGAUGUUCCACCACUUACAGACCGGAUGCUUCCGAGAUACGGCCGGCCCCGUGUGGUUCCUGUUAUCCACUCGUUCUCUCUUCUGGCUUAGGAGCCCUGGAAGAUGUCUCUCUCCUUCUUCCUCGAAGGUGAGCCUGUCUGGUCUUCUUCUGUGAUGCCUUCUGUCCACAGACAGGAGUGGGGCAGUGUUUUGGGCAGACCCGGUCUCAGCAGCAGAGUGAGUCUCGAGUCCAGCUGAUCGGCCCCGGAGGCCGGCCCAGGUGCCCACUGCGCAGAAAGAGACCAGACCUUUAUACUGCGUCCCACUGCAGUCACUUAAGACACCGAUGGAUGUUAACAGUCCCCAGGCCGCCUCCUCCUCUUCACUCCCCCUCCCCCCUUAUUUGUCCCAUACCCUCCUUGUUUUUCUACCACUCUUCUCCCCUAUUGUCUCUCUGUUCUUCCAGAAUGAUGAAGAGGAAGAUGAAAGACACACACACACCUCCUCUCCUUAUUAGUAUGCAGUUGCUCAGGUGACACGGCCACUGGAUUCUGUCUCGACUGCAGCGUGGAGGAGAGCGGAGAGCUGGUAAGGACACCGGGGGGAGGGACACUGCUGUAACACACAUAUUGGAUCUGGUUGUGUUGUAUUUUAUUUGUAUUAUUUUAAAUCUCACUUCCUGCUUAGUUAUGAGGUGUUGCAGUGGUCAAUAAAAUAUCCUGUAUUUUACGUUUUCAAAAUGCAUUAAUUGACAAAUAUUAGUUUCUAGAAUUUUAUGUCUAAACAGAAACUGUAAUAAUUGUCGACAUCAUAACAUCUGCUUUUCAUAUUGUAAAUGGGGUGAUUUCAAUAAAUGUUUAAGUUGAAUAUGUUCUGCGUUUGGUUAUUAAACAUCGAAUGUGUCAGCAAACAAUGAAGGAAUUAAUAUGUAGGGUACAAGGAGGGGUUGUGUGUGUGUGUGUGUGUGUGUGUGUGUGUGUGUGUGUGUGUGUG